CAGCAGCCGCCACGGUAAUACGUAGGUGGCAAGCGUUGUCCGGAAUUAUUGGGCGUAAAGGGCUCGCAGGCGGUCUCUUAAGUCUGAUGUGAAAGCCUCCGGCUCAACCGGGGAGGGUCAUUGGAAACUGGGAAACUUGAGUGCAGAAGAGGAGAGUGGAAUUCCACGUGUAGCGGUGAAAUGCGUAGAGAUGUGGAGGAACACCAGUGGCGAAGGCGACUCUCUGGUCUGUAACUGACGCUGAGGAGCGAAAGCGUGGGGAGCGAACAGGAUUAGAUACCCCCGUAGUCCCUGUCUCUUAUAC
rnacentral:rRNA from 1 species